rnacentral:lncRNA from 1 species
AUUGUGGACAAGAGAAAUGCGUGGAAAAGCGGCCCCCCUUUCCGAUGAAUGAGCGUGUGUCGACAAAGAGGAUGUUCCGGUUGCGUAGCUGCCAUAUAUGGAAUGUUUCUAGGGCCAUGUUAAUCUGGUUUACGAAUGUAUAUGCUCAUGGGAAUCAAGUGGACGAUGGUACCUAAUCCAGUUCUAGGAAUAUCCAAAAACGGUUUCAUCCAAGUUCAUGAAGCAUAUGCAAACUUGACCAAAUCUACUGCAUAUUUUGCCUGUUCGAGUAGUCUAUGUUCAUGCCAUGUUGUUGGCUAGACAUAUGUGGGAGAAGCUAGGAGAUGAUGACAGGCUAUAU